CUCAGUGAGAGACAGCACAGUUCUGUAGGCCAUGUGUACAUGGCCUGGGCAUACAAUAUCUUGAUCUCAGUUCUACUUUUCGAUGUAUAUUUCCCCAUUAAACUCACAUUCUUUACUCAGGUUAUAGGGCAGGAGAAUUUUUGACAUCACUUCAGUUGAUGCUGUGUAUAAGGGGCAUUUUGGUAGUGCUGGUUCAACACAAGUUGUUGUGCCUCCAGCAGAGCCUGCUUCAUGUAAAGCCCUUAUCACAGGACAAGAGCAGUUUUCAGCUCCCCAGGCACUCAGCAUGGAUCCUGGCAGACUGCAAGAAACUUUCCCACAAUCUGUAAUGGCCCAGAGGUUUUGGUGGUGGUUUAUAGCAUGUUCUUUCUCUCUUUUUUGUAGGUCUUACAAAAAAAAAAAAAAAUGGGCUGUGUACAAGAAGCUUGCUUGAGUCUUUGUAUGGGAAUUUUUACUGAGCCACUUCACUGAAUACUGCAGGGUGCAGGAAUAACAAAAAAGGCUUAGAAAGAGCAUGGGCUCUUGACACCUAUUCUGCAGAGCCAUUUUCACUGUCUAAUGCUGCUCUGCUGUACAUUUUGGUACGUAGGUACAGAUCCAAGAAUAAAUUUUGGCCCUGACCAUGGAAUAUUUACUCAAUCUGAAAUGCGGACGUGACCUGCCUUCUCCUCCUGCAACUAACAGGGCGACCAGAGGCAGUGGAAUGUACACCAGGAAAGAAUAGAACCAGAGGGAAAGCAAGCUGUCAAGAGAACAGUGUACUGAAGAGGAAAAAUGUAAAACAUGACUUCUAUUUACUGUGAUUAAUAUGUAAAGUUAACAUGUUUGUCAUGGAAUAUAUUAAUAUGUAUGUUUUCCCAUUAUGUAGAUCUUUUCUUAUAUUGCUUAUUAGAAAGGGAUACAAUCACAAUGAUGGGGCAAGAAUGCCACUUAAAAAUUAGGUGAUGCCCAGUCAACAUAAUAUAACCACUACAGUGUCAUUUCUGAUUUAGAUGUGGUAGAUCAGUAUAAUUGCCUCUGGGAAGAAAUUAAAAUGGCUGUUAAUGAUAAAUAAAAUGACAAGAAUGAGGAUCCUCCUUCACAUAUAAUUCCAAGCAAAAUACAGCUGCUGAAUUCCUUGAGCACUUGGUGCUAUUCAUUGAUAAAGAGGAAACAAGCCAGUUUUGUGCAGCUUCAUGGACAUAAGAGCUGCCCUGUCCUUUCCCAAGGCCAAAUGUAGACACCAUAGGUCUAAAAAGAUUUCACCCCCUAUUUCCACUCAGGGGAGGUGUAGUAGUGAAGCUCCUAUGAAGUGACUAUUAACACCAUUCCAGCAGAAAGCACUGUACAUAACAAACUGAAGGUUAAGGAAAAAGAGGCUAGAGGCAGGGAGACAACAGUGCAUGUGGAUACUUUACAAAACCUCCAAAUAUUCCUGCCUUGUCUCCAUCACCAUAGGCAGCCGUAGUUCACAGAUCAAAAGACCUUCAUACAUUUGUUUUCUAUCAUAAGUGUGUCAAGAAUGAGGUACACAAAGCAUCAUUCACUCACUGCACAUGGCUUGUUAGCCUAGUCGAGAGCAUCUUUCAACUCAUUCACACAUUAAAAGCCAGGAAAUCAACAUUUGAUUACUAGUUCUAGCAUUAAGAUCAAAGACCAUAUCUUCCCAUCUGCGAAAAGCAGGAGCCAAAUUGCUUUCUCCUCUUUCUGCAUUUACAGAAGAAUUGAGGAGUCAAAACACAAAAUCAAUGUUGUACUCCACAUCCCUUGAAUAACACAGUUCCAGCCUGUAAAAACACAAAGCAGCCACUAUAACUUCCACACAUUUUCUUGGAAAGAAGUAUAAGCAAAUCUGUAGUCACAUCUUCACAGGACUCCCAGCAGUCUGCAGUUAUCCAAAGCCCAGAGUGGCUUGAUCCACAGGUGUUAUCCUAGUGUAUAAAAUUACAACACCUCUUAAGAGGGAAAAUACCAUGUGCCUGCCAUUUACUCUUCUCUUGAUAUCUUCAAAAUCAGAUGGUGGUGUAAGGGUUAGAUUAAAUGAAAGCACUAACUUAAAAUCACCAAAACUAAACUGAAACAGGUGGGGUAAGUCAAUGUUAUUCCAUUGUCAUAGUUAGGUUUUUACUUACCUGUUGGUCAAAGAAGCUUGAAAAUAUACAUAAAUCAAAAUCAGCCUUAACCUGAAGAAUAAUAUGUCCACUUUCAGGUGAAACUUAUUUGUUGGUUCAGUUGUAGACAAUGGAAAAUCUUCUGCAGGGGAUUUACUCUUAGGCACAUGUAGCCAAACCAUAGCAGGGGCAGUGAAAGAAGAGAGGGUAAAAUAAUGAAUAAUGUUUAACAUGCUUUCUAAAAUAUAGCAAAUUAACACAGAAAAGACUCUAGUGAAACAGCUGAACCACUGACCUAGCGUUUUGAGAUAUGCAGGAUAUUUUUUUUUUUUUGAUGGUGGUGGUCUGUUUUACUACACAGCAUGUGAAAGAAGUGCAGAGCUUAGCCAGCCCCCAGCUAAUUGCUUUGGCUCUUUUGCAUGAAGAUCAUUUGCUGACAAAUUGUUACAGACACAUUAAGGCACAAGUUUUUAUAGGAUGCCUGGUGUUCUUUAUAAUGCAAUUAGCGUUAUUUAGUAUACAUGUUUUCUUGUGCAUUGUUGUUCUUUCCCUGGCAAACAAAAACAAUGAAAUCUGCACCCUUCAAGUGACUGAAUCUUUCCUCAUGUUUCCUGGAUUUGAACUCUCUUUUGGGAGCAUGGAGUUAUCAAAAGAAAAAUCCUACCUAAUAUUUACUAAAGGCCAUUUUUAAUGUCUGUUUGGGAAAGUUAGAAGAAAAUGUGGACUGAGGUUGAUCAUAUUCUUUUGCCAGCUUUACAAAAGACACUAGGACCAGUUUAUUUUAGGAAGCAAAGAGUUUUGAUCUGCUCCAAAGGAGCUGCAAAGAAAAGCUUUCCUGUGAGUCCGUGUGUUGGAAGACUCCUUGCAGCAUUUACUCAAGCAUAUCGUGGAUAGGUUAUGAAAAAUCACCGUUCUGACAUCUCCAAACUUCUGCUCACCAGCAAAGUAUCAAGGGGGCACCAGGUCUGCAUCUCUUCCAGCAGUGGUGAGGUUCUCCAGGCAACAAGUUCUCCAUGUAUGUGUCCUUUUGUGCAAGACACACCCCCUAUCUUCAAGUACUGCAAUGGUGUUACAUGCCUGGUCUACCUUUAAGCCAUGCUGACAUUUGUGUGCAAGCUAUCCCUCCCUUGUACCAGGGAGGACCCA